AGCAUGUGGUUAAUUCGAAGCAACGCGAAGAACCUUACCAGGUCUUGACAUCCCGAUGCUAUUUCUAGAGAUAGAAAGUUACUUCGGUACAUCGGUGACAGGUGGUGCAUGGUUGUCGUCAGCUCGUGUCGUGAGAUGUUGGGUUAAGUCCCGCAACGAGCGCAACCCCUAUUGUUAGUUGCCAUCAUUCAGUUGGGCACUCUAGCGAGACUGCCGGUAAUAAACCGGAGGAAGGUGGGGAUGACGUCAAAUCAUCAUGCCCCUUAUGACCUGGGCUACACACGUGCUACAAUGGUUGGUACAACGAGUUGCGAGUCGGUGACGGCGAGCUAAUCUCUUAAAGCCAAUCUCAGUUCGGAUUGUAGGCUGCAACUCGCCUACAUGAAGUCGGAAUCGCUAGUAAUCGCGGAUCAGCACGCCGCGGUGAAUACGUUCCCGGGCCUU
rnacentral:rRNA from 1 species